CUACGGGCUGCUCCAGUGAGGAAUAUUGCACAAUGGGCGCAAGCCUGAUGCAGCCAUGCCGCGUGUAUGAAGAAGGCCUUCGGGUUGUAAAGUACUUUCAGCGGGGAGGAAGGGAGUAAAGUUAAUACCUUUGCUCAUUGACGUUACCCGCAGAAGAAGCACCGGCUAGCUCCGUGCCAGCAGCCGCGGUAAUACGGAGGGUGCAAGCGUUAAUCGGAAUUACUGGGCGUAAAGCGCACGCAGGCGGUUUGUUAAGUCAGAUGUGAAAUCCCCGGGCUCAACCUGGGAACUGCAUCUGAUACUGGCAAGCUUGAGUCUCGUAGAGGGGGGUAGAAUUCCAGGUGUAGCGGUGAUAUGCGUAGAGAUCUGGAGGAAUACCGGUGGCGAAGGCGGCCCCCUGGACGAAGACUGACGCUCAGGUGCGAAAGCGUGGGGAGCAAACAGGAUUAGAUACCCUUGUAGUC
rnacentral:rRNA from 1 species